rnacentral:lncRNA from 1 species
CAAGAUCAGGUUAUACAGGUUUUCAAUCUUCUAGUGAGUGGAUCGGGUCAUGAUGCCAUUUAGGUGUCAUGAAUAUAUCAUUUAGCAAAUCAAAUCCAACAAUUCAAGCUACCUAAACAAUGCUUAAUUUGACCACCUUGGUUCAAUAUUCAACUCUACAAAAGGAAAUAUGGUGUACCCAAGGGGGGCAGCUAGAACUGCCAUAGGU